GUCUAUGGCCACGCCACCCUGAACAAGCCCGAUCCUGUCUGAUCUCGGAAGCUAAGCAGGGUCAGGCCUGGUUAGUGCUUGGAUGGGAGACCACCUAGGAAGACAGGUGCUGUAGGCG
rnacentral:rRNA from 1 species